AUGGUCUGUUGUGGAAGGCGGUCGACGCCGGUGGCCAAGAAGGAAACAUCGAGUAGCUCCAAGGUCGGGCUACAGUUCCACGUUGGCAGGAUCGCCAGAUUCCUCAAGGCCGGCAAGUACGCCGAGCCGCUUAGGCGCUGGUGCCCCCAUCUACCUCGCCGCCGUUCCCCAAGUACCUCGCCGCUGAUGCCCUGGAGCUGGCUGGCAACGCUGCCAGUGCCAGGGACAACAAGAAGACCCAUAUCAUGCAUCGCCACAUCCAGCUCGCCGUGCGCAAUGGCGAGGAGCUAUAUAUCUCAUGUUGGUUGUAGGGAACACAAGACAGACAGGAGCUUUGGAGCAAGUCCGUCCAUGUCGGACCCUUUUCAUUUAUUUAUUUCACGAAUUCCUUUUCAUUUAUUCAUGAGCGUACUUAUGCUACUAUUCUUGUUUGAAAUUCCUUUUAUGUUUGCAUGA
rnacentral:rRNA from 1 species